rnacentral:rRNA from 1 species
UACGUAGGGGGGCAAGCGUUGUCCGGAUUUAUUGGGCGUAAAGAGCGUGUAGGCGGCUUUACAGGUCCGUUGUGAAAACUCGAGGCUCAACCUCGAGACGCCGGUGGAAACCGUAAGGCUAGAGUCCGGAAGAGGAGAGUGGAAUUCCUGGUGUAGCAGGUGAAAUGCGCAGAUAAUCAGGAGGAACACCCGUGGCGAAAGCGGCUCCUCGUGGGAACGGUACUGACGGCUGAGACGCGAAAGCGUGGGGAGCAAACAGG